rnacentral:misc_RNA from 1 species
GGUGCAUAUGUUUCUUGAGAACCAGAGAGAAAUUAUAAUCUACACUAAUGUAAAUACCAGUAAAAAUCAUGAAGAAUAUUUGCAUCUUCAUUGAUUGGGCACAGUAAUACAGAGGAAAAGAAGUGCUAACAAAGAAAUGGAAAACAAAACUAUGGUAAAGCAAAAUUGCAGGGUCAGGUCAAGCCUAGUAAAGCCUUAAGCAUAUGUUCUGGUCCAAUUGUUUGUUUCUCUUCUCAAACUUCAUUGUAUAUAUUAGAUAAGUAAAUGAAUUCCGUAGAAUAUAGAAAUUGGCGCAAACACUUCGCAAACAAGAAAGAGGGAAAACGAC